UAUGGUGAUGGGGAAGAGACCGUCGAUCACGGCACCGAAGGGGCAAACUCUGAGUCUGGCAACUCAGGGCGAAUCUCUCAGGUAAAAGGACCCUGUUAUCAAA
rnacentral:ncRNA from 1 species